UCUGGGCUUCAUUCAGUAAAAGGUACGCAUGGUUUUUGUACUUUCAUUUUCUAUUUUUCUUUAAUAUUCAUAUUUCACUGAAAACUCACUUUAUUUGAAAACUCUCUUGCAUCAUCUUUGAUAAAAUUGCAGAUUUGCUCUUAAUUUGCUGCCAAAUUUUGAUAGGCAGAUGGAAAUCUUCUUGAAUCAAUUAGAAGCGCAGGUGCACUACUUCUGAAUAGUUGUAAGGACUGGCUUUCAUAUAUACCUUUCUUUCAUUUGCAUCUCAAAAUUUUGCUCGGAAAUUUAUUUCAUCCUGACAACUUCCAAAUGGAUUUUUAUAAUAAAUCCUCCAUUAGUGUAUUAGUAUCGGGAAUUGUGUUAGUUAAUAUUUAUUUCAUUUAAUUAAUAAUGGGAAUUGUGUUAGUUUAUCGGUAUGGGGAUUGCUUGCAAUUAAUUAAAGACUAUAUUGUGUUAUUAAGGAAUUGUGUAUGGGAAUUGUAUGAAUAUGUAUAAAUUCAUUUUAUAUAUAGGGAUUCGACAAUUCCCAAUUACUGAAGGAAAAUUGUUUGUAAAAUAUACCAACAGUCUUUAAUAUUUAUUGAUUUGGUAUGUUUAGGAUAAGGAGUUGAUUUAGUUGAAGCGCGAAGUGAGAUUAGAGGGUGGCUUUUAUGUUAGACCACAGGCUAAGCUAUUGUUCAUUUUAUCGAUAAAUAAGUAUGUUCUCAUAUUUACAAUUUAUUUUGUCGAUUUAUUGAUUCGAUGUAUAACUUUUAAGUAUCAAUGCUAUGCAUCCCACUACCAGAAAAUCCUGUAGCUUUUGCGAUUGCGUCAGGUACUGUAUUAUCUUUUAAUGCUUGACAUUUUUUUUUCGGGUUUGUGUAUGUAUCUCGUGUAUAUACUUUGUCGGAUUUUCUUGAACAUGAUUUAGUUCUGCAUAAAAGAUUCAGGAAAACUUUGAAAUAACUCGAUCUGGAUUUAUGUAUCUGGUUUAGCUUCCUGAUUUAGAUCUUGUAUUCUGUUUGAUUGUUACGUUUGACGUUUUUUUAGAUCUUUACCAGUGCCGUUCUGAAAGUAAACAAAGCCAGCAUGAACAUGCCUCACAACUUAUGUUACUUACGGACAUGGAAUUGCCGGUUGCAUGUAUGGUACCGAUAGGACUAUUUGCCCUUCAACGUUAUGGGACCCACAGGGUCGGCUUCUUGUUCGCACCCGUCAUAAUAACAUGGCUUUUCUGCAUCAGUGCCAUUGGUAUAUACAAUAUUUUCCAUUGGAACACAUGUAUAGCAAGCUCUUUCUCCUUAUUACGUGUACAAAUUCCUCAAAAAAACCCAAAUGUUGCGGUUGGAUGCCCUUGGGAGGUAUCCUUCUCUGCAUCCCAGUCGGUGCUGCUGUAAAAAUUUCAGUACAAAAAGAUGGAGGCUUCAGGACUCAUUUUGCAGUCGAUGGCGACCGCCGAACGGCGAAGAUAUCCGGGUGUCCAAUUCCAGAUGAGCUAUGGCGUUUCACGUAUCUCGCUAAUAUUAAUAUGGGCUUUUCCUAUUUGUGAACAUUAGAGAUACAAAGGACCGACCCCUUUACACUUGACACCGCGUCAAAGUCGUCCUCGAUGUGCUCAUAUAUUGCUGGACAAUGGAGCCCUUGUUUGUGCUUCAUAUGGCGGAUAUGGUUUUUUCCCUCGGGCAUUUUCAUGAGCCAGGCAUGUCAAGUACUGGACGGGUGUCGACAUUUUUGUCUUGAAUACUUAUUUUCGUCGCUCUAGGAUUGUAUAUAUCAAGAAACCCACCAGCGGCAGUGGCGUGCCCGCGCAUUUUCAUGAUCCCCUUCAUACAUUUUUAGAUCAAAAUUUGGUUUCUAUCAACAUUGAAGUAAUUCUUGUUGCAGCGGAUGAGAGCAGAUGGCGCGAUUCUAUUAUCAAUGUUAUUGUUCGACUAAUUGAUGAUAAAGCAUGUCUGCUUCUUGUUUAAUGGCAUUGCGGAUUUGUUAGAUGGAUGAGUUCGGCCACGUUUGUUGAUAGCGCCACUUCGACGAGUAGUUGUGCGCUUUAGAUGAUGUGAAAUUGUGUGAGUUGUUCGAUGAGAAAGUUGACGGAGAUUGGUUGUGACCGAAAACCAGUAUUAUAAAGGUUCUCACCAAGACCGAGUUCCUAUGCGGAGGCACUUUUUAGUACAAAUUAAGUUGAUGUUUCUUUAUCAACCUAGCAUUUUCGGCAAUCGCAUAGUUUCUCGACCUCCUUGAUUUUUUAAUUUCUCCUGUUUACUGAUAACAAAUAUAAUUACAAAUUAUUAUUGGAGAACCCGAGCCUGGAGGAACCCUUGCAGAGAACAUGUUCCACAUCUGGAUAAAUGUUUGGUUUGUUUCUUUGAUUUUAUGCAAUAAUUUUAUUACUAUGUAGAGUAUAGUUUUUUGGGCUAUUUUGACCUGUAAAAAUCGUCGUCCGUCUGUGUAGUUUAUAUACUACUUUUUUCUUUUUGUCUUUCUUCGUCGUUUCUGAUGCGUAAUUUGUUCGCACACUUUUUGUUCAAUGGAAGAGCGACAGUUUGGUCUCA